GUACAGAUGGCCAGGUGAAAACGUGAGGUCAAUGGCAAUGAGGCUUGCUAGGACGGAAGACGGAGCAGAGGAUGACAUCACAGAGUAUGUAGCUGCAUGUAGUUCCAGAUGCUACUCUUAUAGCAUCAAACCUGGUGCAAAGGUGAAAUAUGCUUAAUACUAAAAUACUAAUACUAUAGAACUACCUACUCAACAUAUGCAUUUCAAAUGUAAAUUAAUAAAUCCGAGUUGUGGCAGACUCGAAGAAUAGAUGACCUUCGCCAAAGGCUUCGUAUGAGAGGCUUUCGAUGCAACCUUGUCUACACUCACGCAGCUUCAAGGCUAAAUGUGGUGCC
rnacentral:lncRNA from 1 species